AAAUACUGCCUGCUGCCCUCUAGCCUGCUGUACAGUGGACCUGCGGAGCCUGGGGAGAACGGGAGAGAUUGUAAAUUUUGGGUCUCAAUACACCUUUGUCCUGGUUCAGAUAGAAGGCAUUGAAUCCCUGAGGAUUCCCUGCUUGCCUGGGCCUGUGACACUGGAUUGACUCCAACUGCUUCGGGUUGGCGCCGCCCCCUCAUUUUGGCUUCCUGCCCAGGCUGGGAGGCGGCCACCCGGCCUGGGAACCUGGGAAGGAUUGGAUCAGCCCACCUCAUCGUCCUGCUGCAGUCAGUAGCCGGGAACAAAAACAUUAACAGAGAAGAGCGGAAGUCUCUGGGACUCCUGAGAAAAGGAUGCUACAGCUGAGCCUGUCCUGGCUGGGCCGGGGGCCAGUGACUGUCUCCCCAUGGCAGCUUCUGCUGGUGGUUGGGACCUCCUUGCUUCUGGCUCGAAUUCUGGCCUGGAUCAGUGCUUUCUAUGACAACUACUGCCGUCUCCGCUGCUUCCCUCAGCCCCCUUCACGGCACUGGUUUUGGGGUCACUUGAACUUGGUCAAGAACAAUGAAGAAGGCCUGCAGUUGUUGGCUGAAAUGAGCCACCAGUUCCAGGAUAUCCACCUCUGUUGGAUUGGGAUCUUCUACCCCAUCCUGAGGCUUAUCCACCCCAAGUUUAUUGGCCCCAUACUCCAGGCCCCAGGUAGUUCUCCAAGGAUCACUGUCUGUUCCCUUCCUUUUCUCCCAGCUCUCCCUAUCCCUGCCGCUGCCACUAACCUGACUGACCUUGGACAAAGACUGUUCAAUGUGAACGGUGGAAACUCAACCUGGUAUGGUCUUAGCGAAGAAAAAGAAAUCUACUGGUGUGGGGUAUAGCUUUGUGGUGAGGCAUUUGUCUGCCGCAUACAAGGCUACAUUUCUGGGCUCUG
rnacentral:lncRNA from 1 species